GAGGGGCAUCGGGGCGAGGAGCAAUCCUUGCCGCCGGCGACCGGCGCACGGGUGAGUAACGCGUAUGCGACCUGCCCGUUGCAGGGGGAUAAUCGGGAGAAAUCCCGUCUAAUACCGCGUAAUGCCGCGGGGCUGCAUGGCCCUGCGGCCAAAGGAAGCGAUUCCGGCAACGGAUGGGCAUGCGUGACAUUAGCUAGUUGGCGGGGCAACGGCCCACCAAGGCGACGAUGUCUAGGGGUUCUGAGAGGAAGGUCCCCCACACUGGUACUGAGACACGGACCAGACUCCUACGGGAGGCAGCAGUGAGGAAUAUUGGUCAAUGGGCGCGAGCCUGAACCAGCCAAGUCGCGUGAGAGAUGACGGCCCUACGGGUUGUAAACCUCUUUUGUCGGGGAGCAAAUUCCGCCACGCGUGGCGGAGUCGAGAGUACCCGAAGAAAAAGCAUCGGCUAACUCCGUGCCAGCAGCCGCGGUAAUACGGAGGAUGCGAGCGUUAUCCGGAUUUAUUGGGUUUAAAGGGUGCGUAGGCGGACUGUCAAGUCAGCGGUAAAAUACGGGGGCUCAACCUCCGCCCGCCGUUGAAACUGACGGUCUUGAGUGGGCGAGAAGUAUGCGGAAUGCGUGGUGUAGCGGUGAAAUGCAUAGAUAUCACGCAGAACUCCGAUUGCGAAGGCAGCAUACCGGCGCCCAACUGACGCUGAAGCACGAAAGCGUGGGUAUCGAACGGGAUUAGAUACCCUGGUAGUCCACGCAGUAAACGAUGAAUACUAGCUGUCCGGGGCGAAUGAGCUCUGGGUGGCACAGCGAAAGCGUUAAGUAUUCCACCUGGGGAGUACGCCGGCAACGGUGAAACUCAAAGGAAUUGACGGGGGCCCGCACAAGCGGAGGAACAUGUGGUUUAAUUCGAUGAUACGCGAGGAGCCUUACCCGGGCUCAAACGACACAGGAACGGUCCUGAAAGGGGUCGGCUCUACGGAGCCUGUGUCGAGGUGCUGCAUGGUUGUCGUCAGCUCGUGCCGUGAGGUGUCGGCUUAAGUGCCAUAACGAGCGCAACCCCCAUCGACAGUUGCUAACAGAUUAGGCUGAGGACUCUGUCGAGACUGCCGGCGCAAGCUGCGAGGAAGGCGGGGAUGACGUCAAAUCAGCACGGCCCUUACGUCCGGGGCGACACACGUGUUACAAUGGCAGGUACAGCGGGAAGCCACCUGGCGACAGGGAGCGGAACCCGAAAGCCUGUCUCAGUUCGGAUUGGAGUCUACAACCCGACUCCAUGAAGCUGGAUUCGCUAGUAAUCGCGCAUCAGCCACGGCGCGGUGAAUACGUUCCCGGGC
rnacentral:rRNA from 1 species